UGCCCCAUGGCUGAGUUGGUUACAGCGUCCGACUGUUACCUUCGUAACGUUAUCGGAAGGUCGUGAGUUCGAGCCUCACUGGGGCAG
rnacentral:tRNA from 1 species